UGGGGAAUUUUGGACAAUGGACGCAAGUCUGAUCCAGCAAUGCCGCGUGCAGGACGAAGGCCUUCGGGUUGUAAACUGCUUUUGUACGGAACGAAAAAGUCUGCCUUAAUACGGUGGGCUCAUGACGGUACCGUAAGAAUAAGCACCGGCUAACUACGUGCCAGCAGCCGCGGUAAUACGUAGGGUGCGAGCGUUAAUCGGAAUUACUGGGCGUAAAGCGUGCGCAGGCGGUUAUAUAAGUCAGAUGUGAAAUCCCCGGGCUCAACCUGGGACCUGCAUUUGAGACUGUAUAGCUAGAGUACGGUAGAGGGGGAUGGAAUUCCGCGUGUAGCAGUGAAAUGCGUAGAUAUGCGGAGGAACACCGAUGGCGAAGGCAAUCCCCUGGACCUGUACUGACGCUCAUGCACGAAAGCGUGGGGAGCAAACA
rnacentral:rRNA from 1 species